rnacentral:siRNA from 1 species
AAUAUCUGGUUAUUCCGUCACUCA